GACUCCAAAGUGAUUUAAAUAAGCAUUAAGUCCUCGUGACGAUCGAGGUAAAUAAAUUAUUAUAACAUAAAGUAACUGUAUCCAUUUUUUAAAUAUUAAUAUUAAAAUGAUAUAUGGUUACGGUAUUUCCAAAAUUCAGUAAAUAGAGUAGGUGUAGAUACCUCGAAUUGCAAAUAUCAUUGAUGGUCCUUGUAUUUAAACUUUAAGAGGAAAUCAUCUUUUCUAUUUGGAUUUUAAUUUUAGAAAACACUGUCAAAAUCUUUGAACACCGUUCUUAUAAAUAAUUGUAUAAUUAAUAAGAAGUCCUAAAUUUACAAACUUGAUACUAUUCUUUUAAAAUCAAACAUUUAGUGUACUAUUUAAGGGACAUUUCUUGACAAACAUUAAACGGCUAUAACGUCCUUCAGAAUAGGUUUAAAAAGCAGUUACAAACUCGGGAAGUUGUGAAAAAAGUAUUGUACAACCUCAUACUUCACCAUUUUACAGAUGAUACUUCUCAGUCUUGAACUGUGAAACCAUGAAGUUCAUUUGUGCCUGCUUCACCAUUCACUUACAGCCAAAACGAAGCAUUUAAUCGUGAAGUGUGAAAUCUUUAGUUCAUGAUUGCAUACUUUACGUUAUCAGAUUUUACCUUUUAUCAGAAGCGAAUCGUUUAAUCGUAAAGAUUGAAAUCAUCACGAUCUUGAUUUAAUCGCACGGUACAGUCGUGAAGUAUGAAAUAAUGAUGGCAAAAUCUGUCUUCCGUAGAUUUGAAUAAGUAUAUCUUCACGGUGUAACUAUCCAUGCAUAUGAACCUUUGGACAGCCUGAUCAUUUCAGUAACGUAUUUCUGAUAUUCAAGAAGAAAGGUGUGACGAUAUUCGCAAACUUUUACCUUUUGACAGGAGAGAUUCUACAAAGUAAGUGAAUAAAUUACAAAUUCAAAGAUUCUGUUUCGUUUAACUUAACUUUUUGGAAUCCAACAAUUUAUAUAGUUCUUUUGCUAAACAUUUUAAAUGUUUCCUUUGUUGUUGUGGGGUCCUUCAGUUGUUGUUCGUUUAUAGCCAUAAAAUUCAUUUAUCUAUUAUAAAUACUUGUUACGUCUUAUUUUUCUUAAUUAAAAAUUAUUGUGAUCAGUUCGAUUUAAACAAAAUUUUGAAACGCGAAGUAAAUAGAGGAUAUUUUUGUUUUAGUGUAAUAUUAAAAAAGCUUUCACAAGUGAACAUCAGAUGUAAUAUUUUCACGAGUGCGGCAUAGCCGUGAGUGAAAAUUUAUGAGUGAGAGAUAUUUUUGAUUUUACGUGUAACAGAAACAAAUAUUCUUUUAAAUUAUCUCAUGCUUUGACUUAAAUGUAACCAUUUUACAGUUUCUUACCAGUGUAAAAUAUCUAUUUGAUAUUUUUCGCUGUGAAAAUACUAGAUAUAUUUCAGGAACAUUAAAAAUGUAGACAUUUAUAGAUUUAUAUAUUCUGGAUGCUUUCAGAGAUAAUAAACAUGAACUAUUUGGUUGUUCUUCUGAUGUUGUUAUGGAUAGGGUUUACUUAUGCGUGCACGUGUGCUCCUCGUUCUGAAGCAGAAAUGUUCUGUAGCCCUUAUACUAAAUUUGGUGCUUUGGUUAAAACUAAGGACGAUGGUAACACUAAUACAAGUAUUGUUAGACGUAUGAGGAGGUACAAGAUAAGAACUGUGGAAAUGUUCAAACAACUGGUGGUCUAGGUUAAGGAUUUCAGAAUGACUAAAAUAUGAGGUACAGUCUUAACGAUAUUAAUUGAUUUUCUGGUAGAGUGGCACGAAUAAAGUGAACAAGAACGUUAUAUUUACGAAUUUAAACAGUGCUGGAUGUGGCGUCACGUUGGAAGCUCACACGUAUUAUGUCCUCACAGGUGACGUGAUCGAUUUGAAUAAAGGUAAAAAGAAACCUGGGAGCAAAGCAAAGAAAAAUAGAAUGAAGGUCUCAAUUUGCGACUUGGUGAAGAAAGUAAACCCACCAGAGUGCCCUAGUCUUGAUGAUAUGAAACCGAGCUUGACAAACUACAAGCCAGAACCUUAACAUGGAGUUCGGGCAUUCGUCUGUUGUUGUUUUUUUUAUUUCUCGUAAUAUUCUGAGAUAAUUAGGCUCGUACUGUCUAAGCCAAUACUUGAACAUUAAUUUACAAAGUGUGGAACGAUUUCGUAUUUACACUACUUUAUACUGUAUAAAAUAUCAAAGAGCAUAAUCUCGUAUUAUUCAAAUUAAAAA